rnacentral:rRNA from 1 species
UACGUAGGGGGCUAGCGUUGUCCGGAUUUAUUGGGCGUAAAGAGCGUGUAGGCGGCCAGGCAGGUCUGGUGUGAAAACUCGAGGCUUAACCUCGAGAUGUCAUCGGAAACCAUUUGGCUAGAGUCCGGAAGAGGAGAGUGGAAUUCCUGGUGUAGCGGUGAAAUGCGCAGAUAUCAGGAAGAACACCAAUGGCGAAAGCAGCUCUCUGGGACGGUACUGACGCUGAGACGCGAAAGCGUGGGGAGCGAACAGG